AGGUGACCUGCGGAAGGAUCAUUAAAGUUAUAGUCCCCUGGCCUUCUGGCUAGGGUCUUCUAUACCACCCUUUGUUUAUUACACCUUUGUUGCUUUGGCAGGCCUGCCCUCGGGCUGCUGGCUCCGGCCGGCGAGCGCCUGCCAGAGGACCUAAACUCUGUUUGUCUAUAAUGUCUGAGUACUAUAUAAUAGUUAAAACUUUCAACAACGGAUCUCUUGGUUCUGGCAUCGAUGAAGAACGCAGCGAAAUGCGAUAAGUAAUGUGAAUUGCAGAAUUCAGCGAAUCAUCGAAUCUUUGAACGCACAUUGCGCUCCCUGGUAUUCCGGGGAGCAUGCCUGUUCGAGCGUCAUUACAACCCUCAAGCUCUGCUUGGUGUUGGGCCCCGCCGCCCCGGCGGGCCCUAAAGUCAGUGGCGGUGCCGUCCGGCUCCGAGCGUAGUAAUUUUUCUCGCUUUGGAGGCCCGGGCGCGUGCUCGCCAUCAACCCCCAAUUUUUUUCAGGUUGACCUCGGAUCAGGUAGGGAUACCCGCUGAACUUAAGCAUAUCAAUAAGCGGAGGAAAAGAAACCAACAGGGAUUACCUCAGUAACGGCGAGUGAAGCGGUAACAGCUCAAAUUUGAAAUCUGGGCUCACGGUCCGAGUUGUAAUUUGUAGAGGAUGCUUCGAGCAUGGUCUGGCCUAGUUCCUUGGAACAGGACGUCAUAGAGGUGAGAAUCUCGUAUGCGGUCAGGUGCCUACGCUCAUGUGAAGCUCCUUCGAC
rnacentral:rRNA from 1 species